ensembl:lncRNA
AAUGGCUAUCAGAAAACCAAAGAGCCUCUGCACUAUCCCAAAGGUGGAGAGGGAACUGAUACCACUGGAGGAGAAGUAGAUUUGGGUGUGAAGCCUUCAGCUGGCUACUCUGCUUCUCUGCGCUGAGCAGAGCACACAGUAAAGUUUAGGAUGCUGCUAGCCCUUCUCUGCCAAACGGAAGACUUCAAUCUCCAAAACUUAACUGCCUUCAGAUAUGUACUUGGAAGGAUGUACGUGUAAGCACAGUGCACUCCUAUUACAAAUUUCUAAGCAACUAUUUACAUCAGAGUCUGCAUUUUUUUAAAAGCUAAGGUAUAUCCAAGGGAAAGCUAUAUAAUUCUAAAAAAGUAUAUAAAUAGAAAUACAAAAACUCAAUGGCCUUUCAGAAAUAUUAUGUGUUUCUGUCCAGCCAGAACAAAUCAUGUGCAUGGGCUGACUCCUGCACAGCAGCCCCAAGGCUGGCUGUGUCACUGUGUUAUAUGGGGCCAUGGGACUCCAUGACUUGGGACACUUGAGUAUGAGACUCCAAGGUAAGGAAGAAAACUUUGAUUCAGAUCCUGCAUUCAGCACAUGGCCAGCUGAAGAGGACAGAUCACUCAGGACACCAAGAUGAGGCUAAGGAUGGUUUAUUUGGGGCCCAUGUGCAAUUUCUUGAAUACUCUUGGAGAUGCUGCCAUGUCAAACAGUGGCUGUGCAGCCAGCAUCACAGAGCAGUAGAAAUUCCUGCAGGAAAAACCAGCUGCAGAACCAGGGAAGGCCUGGAAAACCAGUGCUCUCCAUCCUUAGGACAUUUCCUUUCACAAAACCAGCCCAAAGUUUCUGAAAAGAAUUUACUUCAAAAUACAGCUGACUCCUCUGACAUGAAGAAGAAUGUAUUCAGGGGAGAAGAAAUGCUUACAAGCAGAUCCUAGCAGCUCAGUCCUUUCAAUCUUCCUGGGCAGUUUGCCUCUGUUUACACUGGUUAAAUAUUUAAAGCUGUCUUUCCAAAGUAAAACAAAAACCCAAAAGAUUCCUUUUAAAGUGAAAGCUGAGAUUCUUUUCUAAUCUGUACCAAGCCACAUUCUGUAGAUAAAGGCAGAUCCAGGCUCUGAAUUACUCCCAGCUCUGACCUCAUCCUGCUCAUUCUCUCAAUAACAUUCAUGGAAAAUGCAUGUGUGCCUAAAGGACAAAGAAGACAAACUUCCCUCCAUUCUAUCCCCUCACCUCACACAUACGCCUUUUAAAUGUGAUGUUUUGAAAUAAUAAAUAUGACAAAUAAAUAUGAUCUUAAUCUCAUUUACAUCAGUGUAAAUAGGGAGUAAUUUCGCUAAGGGAAAUGUGCUUAAAGCAUGGCAAAAGCAGUGUGAGGCCAGAAGCAGUGAAAGCUCGUCCUGUAAUUUCUCCUCACAUCCCAGCCUUACAGAGUUCCACUCACUUCCUUUGCAUCAAUAAAAGCAGCAGGUCUGCUCUGGGGAGUAAGGAUUGCAGGCUCCAGCCCUUAAAUCAGCAUCUGUGUCUAAGGAACAAGAGAGAGGCUGUGUUGUUCUCAGGCACUGUACGUAGCUGCGGGAGAAUUCACCCAAGAAAGGAAAAUAAAAAGAGAGUAAAAAUGUUCACAUUUCCUCUGAACAAAAUGAGCUGUGAUCUGCAAUUGCCCUUUUAAGAGCUGUGACUUUGCCUCAUUCCCCAGAAAACUUCUUGCAGCAGCAGCAGAGAGGCUGCAGCCCCGCGCCUCUCACCCAGCGCAGGACACGUCAGGAAAGGCAGGCAACAUGAGGCUUCAAUUUGCAAGGGAGCAUCUACAUCUUCUGAAAAGAAAACACAAUCAAAUCUCCACAUACUCAAUCUAUCUUGAAUAAACGAUAUUAAGGGAAAAAAAUGCUGCUGGUAUUGGGAGGAAGAGACUCUUUGUAGUCUGCUUUGACUGUGCACAGUGCUUCUCCUUGUGCCUCUUUAAAGUGUAUAAACUAACUGUAAUGGGGGUCUGACUCACAGGAGCGCCAGUCAGAGAUUGCUCUUUAUUCCUCGCCCAUGCUACACCAUAGGAGUUUGGGUUACAAUAGGUGUCACACAGCAGGAGUAAAUUACCACUGACUUCAGUGGCUAGAGUUCCAUUUCCAUUCUAUUUCUCCUAUUCUCACAACCCCCAAAUACAAAGUACAUUUUUUACCUAAAUCAACAAUCACAAAGGAAUGCAGCCAAUUAAUAAAAGGCACGUACAAAGGCAUCUGGGAGAAAUUUGAGAGUGAGACGACCUAGGACACCUGAUGGUAAGGGAAUUACUUGGUAUCUUGUCAAGCGCCUGUGAAUAACAACUGCCUCAGUGCUGAAAUGGCCUUCUGAGCACUUGGCUGUACAGCUGUGAGAUGCUUUGCUGCAGUCCUCUGGCUGCUGGCUGCACCAUCAAAUAGGGCUCAUGGUCAGCUCCUACCAAUCUGCUCUGCCAGUUGCUGCAUGUGUUUGCUAUUUCUGUCUGUGCAGGAAUACUUCCAAGUCUUCUAGUUGUUCCAAGAAAUAGUCAAUAACCAAGGUAGGCUUUUGCGUUGUCAGGAUUUUAUUCUUCUGGCAAGACUAAAUCUGUGAGAUGCUCAUGGCCUUUGGGAAGAUGGCUAUGUCACUGGCAUGUUGCAAAGUGAAAUGAUCUUACUAUGCAACUGUAAAAUUGGGAUAAUUUUUAUCCAGAAGUUUGGUCUGCACACCUCUGUAUCACGUAUGAGAAUCAAACAAUUUCGUUUAAGGAGUCUGUAUUAUGUGUAUUCAGGAUUUUAUCAUCAGAAAUAUGCAGUAGCUUUAGCAUGGCAAUGGAAGAAGGUACCCUAUUUCAUCAUACAGUUUGAGAUGUAUGACACUCAAGGGCAAUCACCUGUGCCCUUCAUUUCACCACACUUAGGCUGUCCAUACUGAUUCUUCAGCCACUGUCCUUGUCUGUGCAUGGUGAGGACUUGACAGGACCUGUGCUACCAGCACUGAAGAGAGAGAUGUUGAAAUAAGGCCCGUCUGAACUGAAGAUCUGUUCUGUUUCAUCUAGAAUCCCCUGUCUAGGGGGAUUCUAGGUCACUCUGAGAAGAUUCAUGAAUGCAGCAUACAUUCUAUGUAUUACAUCUACAUAUUACUAACCUCUGUAGAUUACGUACUUGAAUACUUAUCUCUACUGAGCUAAUAAAAAGCCUUUCCUUCCAUCUAGCAGUAAUGUUG